rnacentral:rRNA from 1 species
AAUAGAUACCCUGGUAGUCCACGCCGUAAACGAUGAGUACUAGGUGCCGGGGGUUACCCCCUCGGUGCCGCAGCUAACGCAUUAAGCACUCCGCCUGGGGAGUACGGCCGCAAGGCUGAAACUCAAAGGAAUUGACGGGGGGCCCGCACAAGCGGUGGAGCAUGUGGUUUAAUUCGAAGCAACGCGAAGAACCUUACCAGGUCUUGACAUCCUCUGAAAACCCUAGAGAUAGGGCGUUCCCCUUCGGGGGACAGAGUGACAGGUGGUGCAUGGUUGUCGUCAGCUCGUGUCGUGAGAUGUUGGGUUAAGUCCCGCAACGAGCGCAACCCUUGAUCUUAGUUGCCAGCAUUCAGUUGGGCACUCUAAGGUGACUGCCGGUGACAAACCGGAGGAAGGUGGGGAUGACGUCAAAUCAUCAUGCCCCUUAUGACCUGGGCUACACACGUGCUACAAUGGAUGGUACAAAGGGCUGCGAACCCGCGAGGGUAAGCGAAUCUCAUAAAGCCAUUCUCAGUUCGGAUUGUAGGCUGCAACUCGCCUA